CCGGUGGCGGCAUUUCCGCCACCCCGGACGAGCGCGUCGUACCCGGUGACGACAAGACGGCGCAGU
rnacentral:ncRNA from 1 species